UUCGCAAUGCCCGAAAGGGUGACGAAGCGACGCCGCGUGUGGGAAGAAGGCCUUCGGGUUGUAAACCACUGUCGGGAAUUAAGAAAUGCAAGGAUAUUAAUAGUGUCUUUGUUUGACUAAGGCUCCGGAGGAAGCCACGGCUAACUCUGUGCCAGCAGCCGCGGUAAUACAGAGGCGGCAAGCGUUGUUCGGAAUUAUUGGGCGUAAAGAGCACGUAGGCGGCUAUGUAAGUCGGUUGUGAAAGCCUUCCGCUCAACGGAAGAACAGCGUCCGAUACUACAUGGCUUGAGUGCGGGAGGGGAGAGUGGAACUUCUGGUGGAGCGGUGAAAUGCGUAGAUAUCAGAAGGAACGCCGGCGGCGAAAGCGGCUCUCUGGCCCAUAACUGACGCUGAGUGUGCGAAAGCUAGGGGAGCAAACGGGAUUAGAUACCCCGGUAGUCCUAGCCGUAAACGAUGGGCACUAAGUAGAGGGGUUUU
rnacentral:rRNA from 1 species